rnacentral:rRNA from 1 species
UUAAUUAAGAGUUUGAUCCUGGCUCAGGAUGAACGCUGGCGGCGUGCCUAACACAUGCAAGUCGAGCGAGAAUUUAUGGAAUGAACCUUCGGGCGAGUGAAGUAAAGGAAAGCGGCGGACGGGUGAGUAACGCGUGGGUAACCUGCCCCAUACAAAGGGAUAGCCACUGGAAACGGUGAUUAAUACCCUAUAACCCAUUAGUAUCGCAUGAUACA